rnacentral:rRNA from 1 species
UACGUAGGGUGCGAGCGUGUCCGGAAUUAUUGGGCGUAAAGGGGCUCGUAGGCGGUUUUGUCGCGUCUGCUGUGAAAACCCGAGGCUCAACCUCGGGCCUGCAGUGGGUACGGGCAGACUAGAGUGCGGUAGGGGAGAUUGGAAUUCCUGGUGUAGCGGUGGAAUCGCAGAUAUCAGGAGGAACACCGAUGCGAAGGCAGAUCUCUGGGCCGUAACUGACGCUGAGGAGCGAAAAGCAUGGGGGAGCGAACAGG